rnacentral:rRNA from 1 species
AUGACGCAUAGGGCCGCAACCACGACCGCCAUCUUAGGUCAACUCCAAUGGGACAAUGCAUUACAUCCGUCCACAUCUGUUUCUGUCCACAUCGGCAGAAACCACAUCCCAACGCGUAAACUGAACACUGCACUAUCGAAUUCAGAAGCAUGGCGGGGUUGGGCGCUCGGAGAGGGCGGAUGGUGUGCUCACUCCAAGCCUAAUUCCAGAUCUGGGGACAUAGGUGACGCGGUGUCGUACGAUGUGGCAUCGUUGGAGGUAGAGGACGAGGACCGUGUGUUGGAAAACCAAGCCAGGAACUCUGCACAUGGUGGAGCUUCGUCAUCAAGCAAGAAUGAUCAGCAUAGGAUAACAUUUUGGAAGAAACUAUGGACGUUGCCCUUGCCCAACAAGAUCAUGCACUUCCUAUGGCGACUGGCCCAUUAUAGCUUACCUCUAAGAAUGAAACUACAGAAUAGAGGAAUGGAAGUGGAUACAAGAUGUCCAGUAUGCCAUCGAAUGGAUGAAGAUGGAGGUCAUUGUUUCCUAAAGUGCAAAUUUGUCAAGGCCGUUUGGAGAACUGCAUUGUUGGAAGAAACUCGGAUGCAACUUCUCAAUUGCCCAAAUGCCAUCUCGAUGGUGGAGGAUAUCUCUGAAAGAGCAGGGAGUUUGGAAAAUGUUGCUGAACCACUACAAGCUGAAGCUCUGGCCAUGCUCUAUGCUGUGAACGAAGCGUCAAGAAUGGGGUGCCAAAAAGUCAUCUUAGAGACGGAUGCAGUUGCUCUAAAGCAGGCAAUCACAAGCGACCUGUACGACUACUCAAGCCUAGGCGUGCUGUUUAAAGAGAUAAGAGCAGUGUUCAGUCAGCUUUUCAAUCUUGUAAAGUAG